UUUUUAGCAGCAGCAGCCUUAGGCUUCUUUGCGGCUUUCUUCUCAGCUGCGGGCUUCUUGGGCUUGGCAGCCUUCUUUGGAGUCUUGACAGCCUUCUUGGCAGCAGCUGGCUUGGCGACCUUCUUCUUUUUCUUCUCACCAGUGGAGGCGGGCUUUGAAGAGCUGGCGAGGCGGAAGGAGCCAGAAGCCCCAACUCCUUUGGUUUGGGUCAGUGUUCCCGCUUCCACAGCCGAUUUCAGAUACUUCCUGAUGAAGGGAGCAAGGCGGUCCACGUCCGCCUUAUAGUUUGCUGCGAUGUACUUUUUGAUGGCCUGGGUAGAGGAGCCUCCCUUCUCCUUCAAGGUCUUGAUGGCCGUGGUCACCAUCUCUGAAACCUUGGGGUGGGUGGGAGCUGCCUUGGGCUUCUUGGGCUUGGCAGCCUUGCCUCCCUUGCCCUUUUUAGGGGAAGAAGAAGCUGGAGCAGCAGCGGUCGGGGUAGAAACUUCUUCAGUCAUGACUGGAAAAAUGUCGAGCGCCAGCUCCAAAUUGCCAAUUUUUAUGCCCUACCAUUGCGGCCGUCCAGGAGGACGCGCGGCGAUUUGGUUGGCUUGGAAGGCCGCUUCGGAAAUGUGCCUUAGUGUUUGUUUUGGUGCCCUAUUUGCAGCCCUAAUGGGCAUUUUUAUGGCCGACCGUGGAAGGCAUUCGAAAGAUUAGGCCUCGGGCUAUCCAAUGGUGUGUCUUUGGUGCCGUUUCGAAUGGUAUAAGGCUGUUGCCAACCCUCGUUUGAAAUAACGGGCGCCCGAUGAACCUGUGAAAUUCGAAUUCAAACUGAUCUUAAAAAUAGUCUGUUUGCAUUUGCGCUUCCUUUCCCCCCUCAAACUUAAAAGGAAGCUUUGUGCCUCCCAGAUCAACCUUAUUUUGUUCCAUUAGUGGAAGGAUUUCUGUUUUAGGGUCCUUCAAAGUUGGGAGGGUGACACACUCUCUUCCGGCUGCUCUCUCAAAAUAUUUAAACGGGAAUGCUAUAUAUUUCAGUCGCGGCUCCAAAAAUAUAUGGCUCACAUAUGAUGGGGGCAUAUCUGGUUGCUUGUAAGCCAUCUAAAAGGGAGCAUUAAGUCUUGCUUUCUUCUUCACCUUUUUUUUUCCCCUCCCUCAUUGCUCUUCUCUGAAGUGAAAAAGUUUGUGCCUUUACAAACAUAUGGAUAGUUUUAUAAGUCUAUUCAUUAAUACUGAUGUUGUUGUUCUUUCUUAUCCCCUUGUGUAAAGAUUACACAAAUUCCAUGAGUUCAUGCUCCUCGAGCUGUUUUAUGAUGAGCAGCGGCCUCUUCCAAAGGUCCUGUUUAGUGCUUUUAAUGCAAGCCAAAAUGUGUUCUGGAGCUGCAGGUACCAAACUACAUUUUGGGCAAGUGGGAUAAAUUUUGUUAUUAUUUUCUAUCUUCAAUGGCUUGAGAUGGCCUGUUCUAAAUCUUGUUAGUGUUGUUUGAUGCUGUCUAUUUCUGAUGUUCAGAGCUCCUCCUGGGUUCACUCCACUGUACCAACUGUGCUUAGGUGGGAUCCUCCAGUUCUUGUUUAUUUUUGUUUUGGCUAUUGUUUCUAUUUCUUUAAAAGUAAGUUUAUUUUUCUGUGGCAAGGGUUCUUUUGUGCCUUUUUUCGCUAGCACAUCAGCAGCUUCAUUGCCUUCAAUUCCAACGUGCGAGGGUAUCCAUUGAAGGUGAAUUUUUGAGGUUUUUGAUAGUUUUUGGAGAUAACCAAUUAUGUUCCUGCUUACUUUGUCUCUGAGUUCCCCUGUGUGACUCAAGUGUUGUAUGGCACUUCUACUAUCAGUAAGAAUCCAGAUAUCUUGAUAAAUAAUAUUUCUGAUGGAUUUUAAGGCUUCAUAGAUGGCUAUAAGUUCUGAUCUGAAGACUGAGCAAAAAUCUGUCAUCAGCGAAAAGUCCAAUAUUCGUUUUAUGUGAAAUUAUUUCUUCUAUGCCUGCAAUAAAUAGGGUGAAGAGAGUUGGGCUAAGGACUGAUCCUUGAGGUAAUCCUUGGUACAAUUUGAAGGUUUUGAUACUGAUGUUGAUGAUACUGAUGUAAUGUGUAAAAUACAUAUUUUAUCAAUUUGUUUCCCAUUCCAAAGCUGGUGCGGGUACCAGAAUGCUUUGCUCAUUACCAAUAAUGAAGCAAGGCCUUUUUUUUUCAUUUAUCUGUCACCCUGUGAUAUCUUUGGGUCUUUUAUUUUAUUUUAUUGCUCUUGUUGAUAUUUUUAGAGUGCCUGAACAUAUGCGCACACACAUUCCAAUAUACAUAUAUAGUGUGUGAUACUGCAAUAUACACAUAUUAAAUGUGUAUGCACACCCAAAUUUUUCUGUCAGGAGGUCCUUGGAAAACUGGCCUGGCUUUUUGAGGCAGUUUUCUACAAGGCACGGCAAUUUAACAAAAGCUCCAAAUUUACAAGUGCUUCUUUUGACCUUUCUUUUUGUGUAAAUCUUUAAUUUUGUAAAUAACUUUUUUUUACUCACUUUUUAAGCCAACAAUGAUCCGUUGAUUGUUAACUCUUUCAAAUUUCUCCUCCUUCGAAACACACAAACUCCUUGACCUAUUUAAACUUUUCCUAUCUUACUCAAAAAUAUGUGUCUCUCUCUAAAAUUACUUAGGGGCCCCCCAGAUAUUUGUUUUAAUGAUUUAGGUUUGCUUUUCUUUCUCAAUUUUUAAUUAUUAAUACGAUGUUGGUUAAUUAUUUAUUUGUUUUCGCAGAUAACAGUUGACCACUUGCUCCAAAAACACCGGAAGGAAUAUUUAAAGGUAAGUCUUGAGUUUGUUUUACCUAUAUAUAUAUAUAUAUAUUUUUUUUUUGUAAUUAUUUAUUUUGGUUUCUUUAUAUUGUGCCAUCUUUCAUUUGUUUUUGCACGGCAUUUGCAAUGUGAUUUGUAUCUGGUCAACCUUUCUUUCAAGCUUUUCUGGCCCUGAAAAGGGCCUUUUUUUUGGUUCCUUCUACUGGAUUUUGGGAGAUUUAACCUCCAAAACCGUAGAGGGUGCGUCCCUGGCGCUUGAGGGCAUAGACCACGUCCAUGGCGGUCACGGUCUUCCUCUUGGCGUGCUCGGUGUAGGUGACAGCGUCACGGAUCACAUUCUCCAGGAACACCUUAAGAACGCCGCGAGUCUCUUCGUAGAUGAGACCAGAGAUACGCUUCACACCACCCCUACGUGCGAGACGACGAAUGGCGGGUUUGGUGAUUCCCUGGAUAUUGUCACGAAGGACUUUGCGAUGGCGCUUGGCGCCACCCUUUCCGAGUCCCUUGCCUCCUUUGCCGCGUCCAGUCAUGAUUCAGAUGAGGCCAGCGCUGACUUGACAAUGGUUACAGCUAAUUGACCAAAUGGGAUGGCCUUCUAGCUCUACUAAUGGCUGAAAUGAAUCAGACUGACCACGGCAAACCAGCAUGCGGCGUCCAAUUUCAACCACUGCCCUCUAACCCUUGGGUGAUUAGAGACGGCGCUAGGUGAAAUCUCGACCACAAGCCAGCAGGCAAAGUACAAGUUUGACAUAGCAAAGUCCCCCGCGACAAUAACCAGGGAAUCACCAAGCCCACCACCCGACGCAACGCACGCAGAGGCGGCGCAAGACGCAUCUCCAACCCCAUCCGCGAAGAGAAACGAGGGGCCCCCAAGGUGCCCAUGGAGAGUGUGAAGCGUGCUGAUGCUGGAAGAACAAAGGUGAGUAUCCCUGGGUCAGAGGGAAAGAGAGGAAGAGGUUUCAAGUAAAGAAAGGUAGGCAAUUGCGAUAAGGUUGAUUUAAAAAUAAAAUAAAAAAUAAGAAAAAAGAGAGAGAGAAUUACUAGUAAUAAUAGAAUAAAGAAAAAAUAAAAAUAGCAAUAAUUGGAUAAAUAAAUAAGGAGAUAGGUGAGAAUAGUAGAAGAAUUAAAGUUAUAGUAUUAUUAAUAAAAAAUUAAGUAAGAUUAGAAAAAGAAAGAAUAAAGAUAUUUUAAUAAUUAUAGUGAGAAUAAAAUAAAGAAUUAAAGAAGGAAAAAGAUUUAGAAGAGCACAGGAUAGAAAAAAUCGAUAAAUAUAGAAGAGCACACAGCGCCUGGGGAUGUUGGUGUGGAACGCAAAAAAAAAAAAGGACCUUAUCAAAGGAGCCAGAAAAUUUUUUUUUUUUUUUUCUCUGAGGAGAAAGUAUUCCAGAGUGCAAAAACUGGUGGUACUAAACCGCACCUUUUGCCAACCAAUGAAAAUGAGCGGCCGCCAGACCAUAAAACCCCCGGUUGUGACGUCGCGCGAUUAAUCGACCAAUCAGCGAGCGGCGUACAAUUUCAACCGCUGCCCUCUAAACCUUGGGUGAAUAGAGACGGCGCUUGGUGAAAUCCCGACCACAAGCCAGCUGGCAAAUUAAAAGUUUGACACCGCAUACAUAAUUAGUGAUACACGCAUAUGCAGGUAAAACACUGAUGCAAAGUUUAGGUGGAAUUAGAGUCGGGAAUCUCCUCUGACUCCACCUCUCGGAUCCGCGGUCUCAGCCUGUCGCAAGCCAGGAGAAAAUCGAUACAGGCUCGCCAGGUUAAACAACUGUGAGUGAAGUCGCGGAGCGCCCUCGGUGUGUAACCGAGUUCCCUCCCCGCUAUAAAAAAUAGACGAGUUCUGAGGGAGUCCAGACUGUCACACUCGAGCAUGAUAUGAUCCAGAGUUUCCUCCGCUCCAGAGUCACAAAAAGGGCAGAUAGGAUCAUCAAUGAAUCCAUAUCUGUGAGCAAAGCUGUCUGUCCAUGUGUGACCAGUCAGUAGGCCAAUCACGGCGUGGACACUGGGGACGAUGUACGCAUGUUUUUUGUCCAAGAGACUCAUUGGAGAAAGGCCAAAGCGGGUGAAGAUUCUGCGCUCGGCGGAGAUGAAUCUGUCCUGCCAAGCCGCCCACGCCCGCUUGUAGAUUAUCGAUUUAAGUUUCGACAGCGGUGCGAGGCGAUAGCAGCUCGGGAGAUCAGAUUCCGCCCCGCGUUUCGCGAGCACAUCAGCUACCUCAUUACCAAAAAUCCCGCUGUGGCCCUUGAUCCAUUGUAUGGUACAUCUGUUCCCAUUGCGGUUCAGUUGUGAAAUCAGCAACAGGGCUCUGUUUACCAGGAGGUUGCCAGUUCUGGUGUUUAGAACGGAUUUCACAACUGAGAGGUUAUCCAGGAGAAUUUCAAUGGUGUAAUUGUCGGGAAGCUUUGAGGCGUCCUCAAGUGCUUUAAUCAAGCCAAGUGCCUCCGCUUGGAAGACAGAACAGUACGGGGACAGGACAAAACUCUCACGCAAUUCAUUCAUUGAGCCAUUCGCACACACUCUAUAUAGGCCUGUGCCAACUCCAGUUUUAGUCUUGGAACCAUCUGUGUAGUAGGUGACGUCAGCCGAAAGAUCAGGAAUAUUAAUGGGAGCGGAGUAAUAGGGAGGAUAGGGAAGUGGGUGAGGGCAGGGAGGAGGUUCGACUGGAAAAUCGUCGUCAACAAAACUGUGCUUUUUAAAGUACAAUUCCGCUUUGGCGCCGACAUCCAGAUCGAGAGGGAGAACACGGGAAAGAGAGAUGAGAGAGCAAGAGUCAGUUGUUUUAAACGCGCGGCAUGUCCUGAUGAGGAACGGGCGCUGCGCGCUUAAGAGAGUAUCUAAAGAGCGUUGUUUUAGAUUAGGAAACCACACAGGAGAGGCGUAAGAAAUGGCUGGGACCACAACCUGUAGAUAGAGCAUCCUCAGGGCACGGAAACCAAAGCCAAAAUUGGAGUUGGCGGCUGCAGUCAAACGCGGGAGAAAUCCGCGGACUCUGGUGCAAACCUCAAUCACAUGCUGGUGAAAGGAGAGGCGCCGAUCAAACCUUACUCCCAGCACUUUGAUUGAGUCGCUCCAUUGAAUGGGUUGACCAUUAAUGGUUAGAUCGCAGCUAGGUUUUAGUAGCCUGCCAGUACGUCUUAGAAGGAGCAUGGCCUGACACUUCCUCACGCUGAGUUCCAAUUUAUGCAGGCCACACCACCUCGUGAUCUCAUUAAUGGCAAGUUGCGCCGCUCCAAAUUGCUGAGUAACUUGGCCAGACACUACCAUAACAAGAUCGUCGGCGUAGGCCUGCGGGUGUACACAUUUUUUAAAGUUGAGCGUGAGGAGCUCGUCAAAGACAAGGUUCCAAAGAAACGGCCCAAGAACUGAGCCCUGCGGGCAGCCUUUGGAAACCUGCCUCGUGACCGUGCAACCAUUCAUAGACAGUCUGACAACACGGUUAAAAAGGAAGGAGCGAAUCAGAACAAACAGGUUUUUAGGACAAUCAUUCAUACACAGAGCUCGCAAUAUGCUGGAGUGUAGCACAUUGUCGAAAGCGCCUUUCACAUCAAAGGAAAGUAGAAUAGUAGAUUUUCUAUGUUGAAGCGACCGGGAGAGAUUAUUUUUUAAAUUUAGAAGUGCGGCGACAGUAGAUCUGCAGGGCCUGAAACCGAACUGGUUUGGCUGGGCUUUACACAUCCUCUCUGCUCGCCACGAGAGCCUGGCCAGGAUAAGACGCUCUAGAAUUUUACCUAAGCCAGGCAGCAUCGUGAUGGGCCGAUGAGACGCGAGAAAGUCCUCACCACCUUUUUUGGGAAUGAGUAUGACAUCACCCAGUUUCCAAGGGGUUGGAAAGUGUCCAGUUUCAAAGCACUUAUUAAAGAUCUUUAAAAAGAACGUCGGGAAUUUUUUUAUUAAUUUAACAAUGACUAAAGGUGGCAUACCAUCACUGCCAGGAGCAGAAGUAAGGCUAACCUUAUCCGCAGCCAGUAACAGUUCUGUUUCUGAGAACGGUGGGUCGUUUUCAGAGGUGGACUGCACGGCUUUAUGUAAAUUAACAUGCUCUACUGUUAUAUCGGGCGGGACGCGGCCGAAGUAAUGUUUUAAUACGUGUUCUAGAGUGUCCCGCGGACUGUCAGUGAGAUCAUCGCCAACCAGGAGAGAGGAAAGAGGCUUCCUCUUGGUGGAGCCUUUAAUAAAUUUAUAAACGCCGCCCCAGGGGUUAACCUCGCAAAGCGAACAGAUCCUUCUCCAUUCAGCAGAUUUCGCGUGCCUGAUAGAGGUGCGGAAUCUAUUAUAUAAUUUCUUAUAAAAUAUUUUCAACACGCUUCUAACAGGCCCACGAGCUUUUCUCCAGGCUCGUUCAGCUUUUUGAGUAACCUUUUGGAGCGGAUUUAGUUCAGGUUUCCACCAAGUGGGUUUCUUAAAAAAAAAAUUAUUGGUGGCAGGUUUAGAGGGAAUGGUUUGUAGACACGAAUGAAACACCUCGUCUUUUAGUAAAUUAAUUACUUCAUCGACUUGAGUUGUGUCACUCGCAUCCAUUAAGGAUGAAAUUUUAAAAAUUUUUUUUUUAAAGCUGGAAAAAAAAAAAUCCCAGUCGGCGCGACCAAAGCUGAAGUUUACUUCGCUAAAGUUGUUUACAUGUAUAUCACUAUUGUUGUUAGAAGAGAGGGGUUCUAAAUUAACGUUAAACACGAGGCGUUUAUGGUCAGAUAAAGCCUGGUUGAUAGCGUCCCAAUCGGUGACCUUGUCCGCGAGGCCGGCAGAACAACACGUGACGUCGAUGGAGGAAGAUUGAUCUCCCUCCUCCCACGUGACCGUGCCAUGUUUGUUGACGACGUGGAAUAAAUUCGCGUCAAUGAAGUUUUCGAUGUUAUCUCUCUUGGAGCAAUUGUAUUUAAGCAACCGCGCUUUAUUUGACCAUCUAUAUGAUUCAAUAUUAAGGUCGCCGCAAAAAAUCACCUCGUGGAAAUUAAUUGUUUUUAAAGAGUUGUCUAUCCUAUCAAGAAGAGCUUCAGAACAACAUGAUGGUGAAAGAUAGACAGUACACAGAAGGAUUGUCAAGUCAUUCACUUCGCACAGGACAAAUACAGCAUUCACACAAGACAAGUGAGAUAAAUGUAAAAAUUUUAAAUUCGGAUUUGCUAUUAUUACAGCAGCUCCCAAUUUAUUUUCAAUAAUAGGACCGUGGCAAACCCUGUCAAGGGGCACUGGUAAUGAGGGUAAGCUGUUUUUAGAAACUGGGAGUUCUUGCAAUAAUAGCACAUCCGAUUUUUCCUCGCGACAUUCAUUCAACAAUGAGUACAAACAAUAUGGAGAGCGUCUUACAUUGGCUUGUACACACUUAAUAACGUUCAUUUUACCCAUAAUUUAUUGAAAUUGUCCUGUGCCUCCCGCAUGUGUUUACACGCCAUGGAGUUGGCACUGUGUUUGUCACCACACCUGUGACAUUUUAAAGCUGUUUUAUUUUCACAUGCUUCGGAAAGAUGUGCACCAGCGCAGUGGCUACAUUUAGCCGCCCUAGUGCACUUCUUUCCGUCGGUGUGGGUUUUGUGACUUAGACAGCCACAGACACCACAUGGAAAGACGCGCUUUGCUCUAGCGAGUCUGAGCGAGAGGAAGUUGAUCGUGAUCCUACCACGCUCGAGCAGGACAGUCUCAAUAUCCCUGUUGACCUCAAUUAUUGCGGUGGAGUUGGCACCCUCUUUUUUAAUUAAUUUCACCAUCCUGAUGAAAUCGCCGCUUUUCAGCAGCGGUACAACAGCGGGAUGGUUACUGAUAUCAGCCACAAGUUGCUCUUCAGUAAUCUCUCCGGGAAUACCAAAGAUGGCAAGCCUGGGCUUGAAUGUAGGGUUUGUUUGGACUUUAAGUCCACCAAUGUUGGCGGACUUAACGUUGUCCACAAACCUCUGUUUCUCAGAGGGGUUGGCGAAGUGGAGGACAAGUUUUUUGUCCCCCCCUGUCACCGCGGCUACAUCGCAGUUCUUUAGACUGGGCGUCUGGGCGAUUUUAGCCCUGAUCUCGCUAACAGAGAGGUUCGCGGAAGCGAGCUUUACGUGAUUAGUGCUGUUACGCAGCAUAUGCGCGUAACUAGGUUUGGAUGGUUUGGCAGGCUUAGCACCUGCAUUGGCUGGCGGGGUGACUUUAGUCACCGCUGGAGUUGGUUUGGGAGAAGGAGCAACGGUUGUACUUUUAGUGGCUGCUAGCUCAGCUCUAAUUUCUGCAACUCUGAGGUCGCAGCCCUUCAGCUUACGCUGAAGGAUGCCCACUACGGUGUUCUGAAGUUGGGAGAGCAGCUUAUCCAUUUCAGCAUAAAGGUGUUUAUUUUGUGGGGAGCCUAGAUCCCCGCUAAGCCUUAACCCUACUUCAUGUUGUAGGAUUUGGUGGCAUCCUUUAAAUGAGGUGUCUAUUUCUUCCCACCCCUCCCUAAAAGCUGUGUUAGAGUUUAUGGCAGAAGGUGGAGAAGGAGUAGAAGGAGUGACCCAGGAAGACUCACCCAGAGUUGGGGCAGAAGAAGCGGAGGUAUCCGCCGCCAUAAUGAGAUAAUCCACGAGCAAGAAGAACAAUCCAAGAGCAAUCCAAGAGAAAGAGUGAUCCAGUGAUGUGUGCACAGUUUGGUGUCAGGGACGCGAAUGAGAGGAGAGGCCAGCGCUUAAUGAGUAGUACAAUUUGUUCCGCCUUCUACAUGCUAUUCGAGAAGCAUUUUAAGGCAACAACAGGUCGCAGAAAGGGCGCGAAGCGCCCCGAGGUGGAGGAGGCAGGGGCAAGAAGAUCAAGGAUCUGGCAGGGGGGGGGAGGAAGCUGGAGAGGUCAGGGAAGCAGCGCCAAGAAGAGAGAGAAGCCCGGAAGGUGGCCAGUUGAGGUGGCAGGAGGCCCUGGAAGCCUAGAACUUGAGGGCUCUAAGCUUCAAGGUGGGGCAGCUCGAGGCUCUCGCCUCGUGCUUGUCAGAGAGGCCCUUGGCACAGCAGUUGGCGCACUUGGAAGUGCGCCGGUCGGCAGCGGAGGGGCAGGCGCGGCCUUCGUGGCCGCCAUCACCGCAGUGGAAGCACUUGGAGUCUCUGGUGCAUUGGGCGGAAUUGUGGCCGAAGCCACAACAGCGGAAGCAGAGCCGUGCGCGGAUGGACUCCUCGAAGUUGAGAAGCACUCCGUCCACCACGAUCCUUCCGCGGUUGCCCAGAGCUCUGAAGGUGUCGAGGUCCACCUCGAUGAAGGCGGUGCAGGUCCCGUUUCUGGGAGCAGAACGGUGCGCUACGCGCACCACCUUGUCCCCAGGUAGUUGGCUGACAGCAGGAGUCCUCAACAGCGUCUCCUCAAUGGUGGAGUUGGACGUAUCCUCCUCCACUUUGAAGAGGCAGAUGCGAGGCAGGAGCACCUUCUGUUGGCGGACCUUCAUGCCUUGCAGCUUGUUGGUCAGGGAGGUGGUGACAGCCGGGAUGGUGUCGGGGUUGCUGGAGUGGAGGACAAGCUUCCCUUUGGUCCGCAGGGAGGCCCAGACACCUUGGGGAAGAGUGUGGGCAGCGCGGACGGCUUUGAGCAUGGCUCUAGGGUCAGCUUGUGGGUCAUCAGAGAUGACCACUGUGUGGGCCGCCGAUUUAUCCCCAUGGAGGACCACUGGGGCGGCCGCAGGCUUGGGGACGCGGGUGGGCGCAGGUUUGGCGGGUCCUUUGAGGUUGGUCCUCUUUGCGGGCGGGCAGGGAGCCUCUGGCUGCUUCCUUUUGGUUGGAGCCGGAGUGGCGGGCUCAGUGGAGUCGGUCUGGGAGCUGGUGUCCUUGCAGGAAGGAGCAGGGCUGGUUUGAGUGCUCUGGCAGGCACUCUGCGGUUUGAAAUCGUCCAGUUCCUUGAAGGACGCGAGGGUGCCAGAGAGGUUCUCAACCUCGGCGAGGAGGGCCUUGAUCUGCUUGUUCCGUAGUUUGAUGAGAUCAGUAAUGACUAGGGACAGGCGAUUUUGGCAGGUGGGUUCAGGAUACAUUAACGCCUUCGCAGCGUCGUCCAUCGCCUCUUCAUUCUCCAACUCCAGUUGGGCGAGGGUCACGAGGUGCUUUGCGGCGACCUCGGCAGUCCUCUUCUUCUUCCUAGUGGGGGCCAUGGCAGGAGCGAGCGCAAGAGGGGAGAGAUGUUCGCAGGUAGAGAGCUAGCGGCGAACUCGCCAGCGCUUAAUGAUGACAAUUGUUCCGCCUUCUACAUGCUAUCAGGUUAGCAUUCUAAGGCACAAAUCAACAUUGGGGGUCACCGUGAGCCCGCCGCACUGGAGGGCCAAGGAGAGGGCUGGAGAGACGCCGGCGGAGCCGUGGGCGCCCCGGGGGAGAAGAGGGCGAGAGCGCGGAUAGUGAGGGAACCAAGGCGACACCAAGCACUGCUCCAGGCCCGAGCAAGUGGUCUACGCCCUAGAGCGCCAGGGACGCAACCUCCACGGCACUGGAGGUUAAGAUUAUACUAUAUUAUCUAUUAAAUAUUAAUUUUUUUUUUUUUUUUCCAAGCAAACAAAAUUACAAAUGGGAGGUACAAGCAAAGACAAGGGCAAGAUCAGCGGGGGAAAGGGUUAUAUACAGAAGGAACAAGCGAGGCAAACAAACAAAAAGAGAGGUCCAAAAAGAAAGAGGGCAAGAGAAGGUAAGGUGUGGGUGUGAGCAGAAGAGAUAGGGGAGAUAGGGUAUGUACAGGGGGAGGUGGGAGCGUGGACCAAAGAGUAAAAAAGAAAAACAAAAGCUAUGUACAAAAAGUGGCAACAGUCCACAGUUCAGGGAGGCGUAAUGGUUGUGUUGGCAACAGUCCAAGAGGUUGAGGGGUGAGAUGUAAGGGGGGGGUGAGGGCGAGUGAGGGGUGUGAGGGAGGGUUGUGUUAAGUGUCAGAGUCGGAACUGGGUUGAGGGAUGUUGGAUGGGGUGAAUCUGUUUGAGUGGGUGGCGAAGUCUAAGGUGUGGGCCCAGGCUUUACCAGAGGAGAAGAGCUGAGGGAGAGAAGUGGGGAUGUGACCGAGGUCGGACAGGCAUUUUUUGAAAAAGGUGGCACGGAGGGGGUCAAGGUUUGGGCAAUCAAAAAAGACGUGAUCAAUGGUUUCAGGGGCAAGGUUACAGUGGGGACAGGUGGGGUCGAAGGGGGGAGGGGUUUUCUUGUGGGGGAAAGCGGCUAUGAAAGUAUGGCCAGUGAGAAGACCGGUGGCGAUGGCGGAACUUGGGAGAAGGAAGCUGUGGGAGGAGGAGAGUGAGCUAGGGGAAAGGCCAAGUUUGAGAAAGAAGGUGGGCUUGGCGGAGAUGAAUUCCUCAUCCCAAAGGGACCAAAAGUGGCGGGAGAGGAAUUUGUGGUGGGCAGUUUUAGGGGCGAGGGUGUAUUGUGGUGGGAGAGAAGGGGCAGCGGUGGCGCAUUUGGCGAGGGUGUCGGCUUGGCAGUUGCCAAGAUUGCCGGAGUGGCCUUUGACCCAGUGGAGGGUGAGGUUGCGGGAGGGGAGGAGGGAGUAGAGGAGGGUUUGGCAUUGGGCUACGAGGGGGUGAGGGGAGUGGGGGGAAGAGAGAGCGGAGAGGAGGGAGAGACAGUCGGAGGAGAUGGCGGCGGAGAGGGAAGGGGGGAGGCUGCAGAGGUCAGAGAGAGCGGACCGAAAGGCAAAGCAUUCGGCCUGGAAAACUGAGCAGUGGGAGGCCAAGGGAAUGGAGAGGCAGAGGGGAGGAAAGCUAGAGGAGAGGGGAGAAGAGGAGAACCUGGCAACGCCAGCCCCAACGCCGCUCCGCGACUUGGAGCCGUCUGUGUAGUAGUCGAGGUCGGGAGCGGAGGGGGGGAGAAGUGAGAAGGAGAGGUCGGGGAGGAGUGGGGGAGAGGGGAAAAGGAAAGGGGAAGGGGGGGAUUCGGGGGUGAAGGGAAGAGGGUCGGGGGGGCGAAGGAGGGAGGAGAGGAGAAGGACCUUGAGGUCGAGGGGAAGGACGCGAAGGAGGGCGAUGGCUGUGAGGGUAGGGACCGUGCGAAAACCCCGAAUGGCGUGGACGCAGAACUUGCGCUGGAGAGAGCGAAGGCUGGCCUUGCCGAUGCGGUAUUUGACUGCCUCGCACCAGAUGGGGGCGGCGUAGGUGAUGGCGGGCUCGACGACGCUGCAGUAGAAACGUCUCCUGGCGACGUAGCCGAGCCCGGAGAUGGUGUUGGAGCACCUGGAGAGCCUACCGAGGAAGGAGGAGGCCUUAUCGCAGACGCGAUGAAGGUGAGGGGUGAAGGAAAGACGCUCAUCGAAGGUGACGCCGAGGAUGGUCAGAGUAUCAGGACAGGUGAGGGGGGUGUUAUCGAUGGUAAGAU